GAUGAACACUGGCGGCGUGCCUAAUACAUGCAAGUCGAGCGAAUGGAUUAAGAGCUUGCUCCUAUGAAGUUAGCGGCGGACGGGUGAGUAACACGUGGGUAACCUGCCCAUAAGGCUGGGAUAACUCCGGGAAACCGGGGCUAAUACCGGAUAACAUUUUGAACCGCAUGGUUCGAAAUUGAAAGGCGGCUUCGGCUGUCACUUAUGGAUGGACCCGCGUCGCAUUAGCUAGCUGGUGAGGUAACGGCUCACCAAGGCAACGAUGCGUAGCCGACCGGAGAGGGUGAUCGGCCACACUGGGACUGGGACACGGCCCAGACUCCUACGGGAGGCAGCAGUAGGGAAUCUUCCGCAAUGGACGAAAGUCUGACGGAGCAACGCCGCGUGAGUGAUGAAGGCUUUCGGGUCGUAAAACUCUGUUGUUAGGGAAGAACAAGUGCUAGUUGAAUAAGCUGGCACCUUGACGGUACCUAACCAGAAAGCCACGGCUAACUACGUGCCAGCAGCCGCAGUAA
rnacentral:rRNA from 1 species